UACGAAGGGGGCUAGCGUUGCUCGGAAUCACUGGGCGUAAAGCGCACGUAGGCGGAUUGCUAAGUCAGGGGGGAAAUCCUGGAGCUCAACUCCAGAACUGCCUUUGAUACUGGCAACCUUGAGUCCGGGAGAGGUGAGUGGAACUGCGAGUGUAGAGGUGAAAUUCGUAGAUAUUCGCAAGAACACCAGUGGCGAAGGCGGCUCACUGGCCCGGUACUGACGCUGAGGUGCGAAAGCGUGGGUAGCAAACGGG
rnacentral:rRNA from 1 species